rnacentral:rRNA from 1 species
UACGUAGGGGGCGAGCGUUAUCCGGAAUUAUUGGGCGUAAAGAGUGCGUAGGUGGUCUUGUAAGCGUGGGGUGAAAGGCAGUGGCUUAACCAUUGUAAGCCCUGCGAACUGCGAGACUUGAGUGCAGGAGAGGAAAGCGGAAUUCCUAGUGUAGCGGUGAAAUGCGUAGAUAUCGGUAGGAACACCAGUGGCGAAAGCGAUCAACUGGCCAAGUAACGACGCUGAGGGACGAAAGCGUGGGUAGCAAACAGG